rnacentral:ncRNA from 1 species
UUAUUGGGGAAAUCUAAUCAACAGACAAGAGCAGGACUAUCGAGAUAGACAAUUGAGUAUGUGUCUAUGUAGGAUUCUGAAGGAUGUUGCAGUUCAUCAUGAUGUUAGCAGAAAUGUGCCAAUGGGAUUUGCAUUUAGAAAUGGCAUAUUCAGCUUUGCUAAUGAUGUUUUUAGUAUUCACUGUUCCCUUGGUGAUUCAUAAUAACUUCUUGAAUUGCAUGGUCUUGUACCAGUGAUGCUUCAUUCAAAUAUCUGCCCUAUCAACUUUUGAUGGUAGGAUAUAGGCCUACCAUGGUUUCAAUGGGACAUGGGGAAUAAGGAUUCAAUCCUAGAGAGGGAGCCUGAGAAAUGGCUACAACUGUUACAACCC